rnacentral:rRNA from 1 species
CUGGUGCGCGAGAUGAGUAUUCUAAGGCGCUUGAGAGAACUCGGGAGAAGGAACUCGGCAAAUUGACACCGUAACUUCGGAAGAAGGCGUGCCUUUAGUAGGUGAAGGGAUUUACUCCUGGAGCCCAAUGAGGUUGCAAAAAAUCGGUGGCUGCGACUGUUUAUUAAAAACACAGCACUCUGCAAACACGAAAGUGGACGUAUAGGGUGUGACGCCUGCCCGGUGCUGGAAGAUUAAAUGAUGGGGUGCAAGCUCUUGAUUGAAGUCCCAGUAAACGGCGGCCGUAACCAUAACGGUCCUAAGGUAGCGAAAUUCCUUGUCGGUAAGUUCCGACCUGCACGAAUGGCGUAACGAUGGCCACACUGUCUCCUCCCGAGACUCAGCGAAGUUGAAAUGUUUGUGAUGAUGCAAUCUCCCCGCGGAAAGACGGAAAGACCCCAUGAACCUUUACUGUAGCUUUGUAUUGGACUUUGAACAGACCUGUGUAGGAUAGGUGGGAGGCUUUGAAGCAGGGUCGCUAGAUCUUGUGGAGCCAACGUUGAAAUACCACCCUGGUGUGUUUGAGGUUCUAACCUAGGUCCAUUAUCUGGAUCGGGGACAGUGCAUGGUAGGCAGUUUGACUGGGGCGGUCUCCUCCCAAAGCGUAACGGAGGAGUUCGAAGGUACGCUAGGUACGGUCGGACAUCGUGCUAAUAGUGCAAUGGCAUAAGCGUGCUUAACUGCGAGACUGACAAGUCGAGCAGAUGCGAAAGCAGGACAUAGUGAUCCGGUGGUUCUGUAUGGAAGGGCCAUCGCUCAACGGAUAAAAGGUACUCUGGGGAUAACAGGCUGAUACCGCCCAAGAGUUCAUAUCGACGGCGGUGUUUGGCACCUCGAUGUCGGCUCAUCUCAUCCUGGGGCUGUAGCCGGUCCCAAGGGUAUGGCUGUUCGCCAUUUAAAGAGGUACGUGAGCUGGGUUUAAAACGUCGUGAGACAGUUUGGUCCCUAUCUUCCGUGGGCGCUGCAGAUUUGAGGAAGCCUGCUCCUAGUACGAGAGGACCGGAGUGGACGCACCUCUGGUGUAUCGGUUGUCACGCCAGUGGCAUUGCCGAGUAGCUAUGUGCGGAAGAGAUAACCGCUGAAAGCAUCUAAGCGGGAAACUCGUUUCAAGAUGAGAUCUGCCGGGGCCUUGAGCCCCCUAAAGAGUCGUUCAAGACCAGGACGUUGAUAGGUCAGGUGUGGAAGCGCAGUAAUGCGUUAAGCUAACUGAUACUAAUUGCUCGUGCGGCUUGACC